AGAGUUUGAUCAUGGCUCAGGACGAACGCUGGCGGCGCGCCUAACACAUGCAAGUCGAACGAGCGAGAGAGAGCUUGCUUUCUCGAGCGAGUGGCGAACGGGUGAGUGGCGCGUGAGGAACCUGCCUCAAAGAGGGGGACAACAGUUGGAAACGACUGCUAAUACCGCAUAAGCCCACGGGUCGGCAUCGACCAGAGGGAAAAGGAGCAAUCCGCUUUGAGAUGGCCUCGCGUCCGAUUAGCUAGUUGGUGAGGUAACGGCCCACCAAGGCGACGAUCGGUAGCCGGACUGAGAGGUUGAACGGCCACAUUGGGACUGAGACACGGCCCAGACUCCUACGGGAGGCAGCAGUGGGGAAUAUUGCACAAUGGGGGAAACCCUGAUGCAGCGACGCCGCGUGGAGGAAGAAGGUCUUCGGAUUGUAAACUCCUGUUGUUGGGGAAGAUAAUGACGGUACCCAACAAGGAAGUGACGGCUAACUACGUGCCAGCAGCCGCGGUAAAACGUAGGUCACAAGCGUUGUCCGGAAUUACUGGGUGUAAAGGGAGCGCAGGCGGGAAGACAAGUUGGAAGUGAAAUCUAUGGGCUCAACCCAUAAACUGCUUUCAAAACUGUUUUUCUUGAGUAGUGCAGAGGUAGGCGGAAUUCCCGGUGUAGCGGUGGAAUGCGUAGAUAUCGGGAGGAACACCAGUGGCGAAGGCGGCCUACUGGGCACCAACUGACGCUGAGGCUCGAAAGUGUGGGUAGCAAACAGGAUUAGAUACCCUGGUAGUCCACACCGUAAACGAUGAUUACUAGGUGUUGGAGGAUUGACCCCUUCAGUGCCGCAGUUAACACAAUAAGUAAUCCACCUGGGGAGUACGACCGCAAGGUUGAAACUCAAAGGAAUUGACGGGGGCCCGCACAAGCAGUGGAGUAUGUGGUUUAAUUCGACGCAACGCGAAGAACCUUACCAAGUCUUGACAUCCCUUGACAGACAUAGAAAUAUGUAUUCUCUUCGGAGCAAGGAGACAGGUGGUGCAUGGUUGUCGUCAGCUCGUGUCGUGAGAUGUUGGGUUAAGUCCCGCAACGAGCGCAACCCUUAUGGUCAGUUACUACGCAAGAGGACUCUGGCCAGACUGCCGUUGACAAAACGGAGGAAGGUGGGGAUGACGUCAAAUCAUCAUGCCCUUUAUGACUUGGGCUACACACGUACUACAAUGGCGUUAAACAAAGAGAAGCAAGACCGCGAGGUGGAGCAAAACUCAGAAACAACGUCCCAGUUCGGACUGCAGGCUGCAACUCGCCUGCACGAAGUCGGAAUUGCUAGUAAUCGUGGAUCAGCAUGCCACGGUGAAUACGUUCCCGGGCCUUGUACACACCGCCCGUCACACCAUGAGAGCCGGGGGGACCCGAAGUCGGUAGUCUAACCG
rnacentral:rRNA from 1 species